rnacentral:lncRNA from 1 species
GAUGGAGGGGGAUCUCCUGGCACCCCUGACAGCACCAACAAAAUACUCAACUCUUAGUGAGUACUGAAACUACGGAUUUACUUGCAUAUCCAUCCGUUUUGGUUUAGAAUUUAACUUGUCUUUUCAUGCAGGUAAACUUCCUCGGUGCGAGUUGUCUACAAAAGACUUCGACACCAUCUGCAUCGUAUUUCAUCUUCCUCCAAAGAGGAGAUCUUAUAACGAGUUGAUAAGGAAG